rnacentral:rRNA from 1 species
GAUGAACGCUGGCGGCGUGCCUAAUACAUGCAAGUCGAGCGAACAGAUGAGAAGCUUGCUUCUCUGAUGUUAGCGGCGGACGGGUGAGUAACACGUGGGUAACCUACCUAUAAGACUGGGAUAACUCCGGGAAACCGGGGCUAAUACCGGAUAAUAUUUUGAACCGCAUGGUUCAAUAGUGAAAGACGGUUUCGGCUGUCACUUAUAGAUGGACCCGCGCCGUAUUAGCUAGUUGGUAAGGUAACGGCUUACCAAGGCGACGAUACGUAGCCGACCUGAGAGGGUGAUCGGCCACACUGGAACUGAGACACGGUCCAGACUCCUACGGGAGGCAGCAGUAGGGAAUCUUCCGCAAUGGGCGAAAGCCUGACGGAGCAACGCCGCGCGAGUGAUGAAGGUCUUCGGGUCGUAAAACUCUGUUGUUAGGGAAGAACAAAUUUGUUAGUAACUGAACAAGUCUUGACGGUACCUAACCAGGAAGCCACGGCUAACUACGUGCCAGCCGCCGCGGUAA